UUGGCAAUUAAACAAUUUAUUCAUUUCACAAACAGGAGCCUCAGUAGCGUGGAAGAACCAUACACAGCCACAACAGCCUGGCACCUCCUCCUCAUGCUGGUCACCAGCCUGGUCACACACUGCUGUGGGAUGGCAUCCCAUUCUUCAACCAGCAUUUGUCGCAAGUCAGCCAACGUGGUUGCGUUGGUCACUCUGGCACGAACAGCAUGCCCAAGCUGAUCCUACAUGUUUCCAAUGGGGUUGAGGUCAGGACUGCUAGCAGGCCAUUCCAUCCUCUCCACUGCCACAUUCUGAAGGUAGUAUCUGAUAAACCCCGCCCUGUUGGGGCGAGCGUUGUCAUCUUGGAGGAUAGAGUUCGGUCCCACUGUGGAGAUAUGGGAUUGCCAGUGGUUGCAGAAUCUCAGCUCUAUAUCUCUCUACAUUGAGAUUGCCUCCAAUGAAAUAAUCUACCAAAUACAUAUUUUCUUACUUUUUGUGCCAAGUUUUUAUAUAUUCAAUUUUAGAUAUUUAUAUAUAUUUUUUUAUAAUACAGCGAAGGGCCUUUUACAAGACCUUAGACCGCGCAUAACAACCAUGAACCCAUAUAAUGCGACGAAACUAAAUGCUGAUCGUGACGUCACACCCGCCUACUGCGUUUAUUGAGUCAUGGACGUCUUAUCUUAUGAGCAAAAUAGUCUCACAAUCUUUUAAUCACAGAAGGCAAGAAUGCUCCAAAAUGGGACAAGAAGCAGGAUAUUUUCCAAGGUUUAAUACAAAACGCAAGACAAACCAUGUCAACUGGAUUGAUUCUAUUGGCAACACGAUAGUGUCGUCUCCUGCGGCGGAGGGCGAGCAGCGCCCCCUGCUGGCAGGAGAGGAACCAAACACAACAGGAAUCUAAAUGCAAAAAACACUUUGGAGGAGAACGGACCAAACGAAGAAAGCAAUAAAGGGGAAGAACUGUUUGUCCUUGAAACUCCCAGAAUCCAACAGGAGACGGGCCGUUCGAACACAGAGAGAGAACAAACCUAAAACAUAGGAAGUGAACAGAGACCAGGGAACAGGGAGAAGUACCAAACUGUCUUUGUUUUUUUUCCCUCCAGCACGGGGAUCUGUUGGUACAUGUGAAUCUUAACUCUUUUUCGUGCUUCGGUCGCCCACAGAUAUAAAUAACAUCUAUUAAAUUAAGUUGAAUCCAAUUGCAAACAUGAAAUGAUAUUCACAAGCCAAGUGUGGGGGAGGAGGAGAAGGGGUGGAGGUGAGAGCAGAGAGGAGCCUCUGCACCACAUCAGUUAAUUGCCACGAGUGGUGUGUGUGUGUGUGUGUGUGUGUGUGUGUGUGUGUGUGUGUGUGUGUGUGUGUGUGUGUGUGUGUGUGUGUGUGUGUGUGUGUGUGUGUGUGUGUGUGUGUGUGUGUGUGUGUGUGUUCCAGAGGUCGGGGGGGAACGACGACACACACCGUAGUGAGGAAGAUGAUGAAGAUAAUCAGAAAGCCCAUUCUCAAAGCGCUCCGUUCCAUAUUCAUACGUCUCACUCCACACCGCCAGAAGUAUCCAGGUUCUGUGGAGGCCAGUGGCCCUCCAGGACGCUAGCGGUGAGGUCUUCAUGCAUACAUAGGAGGCUAGGAGGGGGGGGCGUGGCCUCUGACAGACACGGAGCGGACAGGAAGUGGUCGCCCUGUAGGGGAGUUCAGACAAACCGCAGACGUCGCGCAACUCGCCCAAUCGGAACACUCUGACAAGGAACACAGCCAAUCAGAUCUGAGGAACAAGGGAAGGGGGCGGGAACAGAACAGGCUGAACAGGAGGGACUGGGAGGAGAGAGAGGGAGAGAGGGACUGAAUUGGGGG
ensembl:lncRNA